UUACAGUUCUCCCUUCUGCAAAUGGGAUACAUCAUACUCCAAUCACAAAUUAUUGUUGUGCAGUGACGAGUUUGUGAUAGUGCUGGUGGAUAUACCAUCAUCAGCCUCACGUGAGAGAUAGAAAAGCAACCUGGUUAUGCCCUGAAAAAGGAUACAAUUGUUUUUGAGAUGGGCUAUUAUUCAAGGAGUGGCAAUGCUUUUACAUAACAUAUAUCAAACAUACAGACUCUAUACACGUAUUGCCUAGUUGUGUCUUUCAGGGCUGUGCUAUUGGUCAACUAUUUGGUAUGUUGCGAGUUCUUGGUGGAAACAAUGGGAUUUUACAAGGGAUGUUCUUAAUGAGAAGAGUGUGCUGUUUUGUGAUGAUUGUUGAUACAUGCUAUACAUAGGAUGGACUCGUGCCUUAGCGACUUUAAAACUUGAAAGACAAUAAUUGUAUUUAUUUGAUUUGAAAUAAAACGAUGUGUUCAAUAAUUCAAUAAAACGAAAUUAUU
rnacentral:lncRNA from 1 species